rnacentral:rRNA from 1 species
GAUGAACGCUGGCGGCGUGCCUAAUACAUGCAAGUCGAGCGAACAGACGAGGAGCUUGCUCCUCUGACGUUAGCGGCGGACGGGUGAGUAACACGUGGAUAACCUACCUAUAAGACUGGGAUAACUUCGGGAAACCGGAGCUAAUACCGGAUAAUAUAUUGAACCGCAUGGUUCAAUAGUGAAAGACGGUUUUGCUGUCACUUAUAGAUGGAUCCGCGCCGCAUUAGCUAGUUGGUAAGGUAACGGCUUACCAAGGCAACGAUGCGUAGCCGACCUGGGAGGGUGAUCGGCCACACUGGAACUGAGAUACGGUCCAGACUCCUACGGGAGGCAGCAGUAGGGAAUCUUCCGCAAUGGGCGAAAGCUUGACGGAGCAACGCCGCGUGAGUGAUGAAGGUCUUCGGAUCGUAAAACUCUGUUAUUAGGGAAGAACAAAUGUGUAAGUAACUAUGCACGUCUUGACGGUACCUAAUCAGAAAGCCACGGCUAACUACGUG